rnacentral:rRNA from 1 species
UACAGGGGGUGCAAACGUUGCUCGGAAUCAUUGGGCGUAAAGCGCACGUAGGCGGUCUGUUAUGUCGGAUGUGAAAGCCCUUGGCUCAACUAAGGAAGUGCAUCCGAAACUGGCAGGCUGGAGUACUAAAGAGGGUCGCGGAAUUCCCGGUGUAGAGGUGAAAUUCGUAGAUAUCGGGAGGAACACUGGUGGCGAAGGCGGCGACCUGGGUAGAUACUGACGCUGAGGUGCGAAAGCGUGGGGAGCAAACAGG